UCCAGAGGCAAAGGAGCACUGCU
rnacentral:miRNA from 1 species